CGUGUGAAAUCGGGUUGGCCAAUUUUUUAAAUAAAUCACGAAUCGAAUCAGAUUGACGAUUUUGCAAAUGAUUGCGAGGCGAAUUUCGAGCACGAAAAUCGAACUGUCAAUCCCUAAGUCUUAAUUUGAGAGGCUAUUUCAUGUCGAGAAUCUCAAUAUACAUCAAGGAAUAAUUCAACUAAAAAAGUAAAAUAAGAUAAAAUAAUUAAAACAAAAAACAAAAUAAAGUAAAUAGAAAGAGAAACUACCUAAUUUACUUUUCUUUUCUUUUUUUCCAAUAGGGCUUGGCAGCCCAAUCAAGUAAGGGGCAACGCCGGUCGGAGCUCCGGCAGAGGGAAGACCAGCAGGCGAGCGGAGGCGAGCAGCGGCGGUGUGGGCUCCGGUGGCGUCGGGUCGCGGCAAGGACAGCGGCGCGGCAGCGGCUGAGCGUUGGGCGGAGGCAAGCAGGCCGGCUCGGGUGGCUCACGGACAGAGCAGUCGCAGCGAGGCAAGACCGUAGAUGUCGGCGCUCGGAGACUGAACGGGGCUUCGGAUGGGCGACGAAAGUGGAACAGGAGCGGCGGUGUUGGUGCAGUGGACAGCAGCGUCACAAGAGGGCGAGUCGCGGCGACACAGGCAGAGCAGAGCCGGGUCGUCGAAGCAGAGCAGCAGCAGCGUCGCCGGGGGGGGGGGGGGG
rnacentral:lncRNA from 1 species